CACUACAGGUGACUGAUGAUGUGAGCCAAAAGUCCACUAGAGUGGUCCCUGCCCCCACUCAGCCUGAACAUUUGGAUGAUGGAGGCGUUGGUAUAUCCACACAAGUAUCUUCUCCAAGGAAACGAAAGACAGAUGUGUCAGCCAAGCCAACACACAUGCCGCAAAAACAAAAGUGGAAGUCAGAUGUGACAAGCAGGCCACAUGUCUCCACCACGACGCCACAUCUCAGAGGUGUCAUCCAGGCCACCACUACAACUUUUGGAGUGUCCCUCGCCAAUAUCACCAC